GAAAUAUAUCUGCAUCUGUUCAUGUGUGUAACACAGACGGCUGCAACAAUCAAACCAUACCUUACCCUGAUGUUCAGGAGAAAAACAACCUGACGUGUUUUGUUUGUGAUGAUCGAUAUUCUGCUGUGUGUAACCAGACAAUACAGUGUGUGGGAGUGGAAGACCGCUGCUUUAGUAUGACUGCGAAUUAUUA